rnacentral:rRNA from 1 species
CCUACGGGAGGCAGCAGUGAGGAAUAUUGGUCAAUGGGCGUGAGCCUGAACCAGCCAAGUAGCGUGAAGGAUGACGGCUCUACGGGUUGUAAACCUCUUUUAUAAGGGAAUAAAGUGUGGCACGUGUGCCGUUUUGUAUGUACUUUAUGAAUAAGGAUCGGCUAACUCCGUGCCAGCAGCCGCGGUAAUACGGAGGAUCCGAGCGUUAUCCGGAUUUAUUGGGUUUAAAGGGAGCGUAGAUGGGUUGUUAAGUCAGUGGUGAAAGUUUGUGGCUCAACCGUAAAAUUGCAAUUGAUACUGGCAGGCUUGAGUAUAGUUGAGGUAGGCGGAAUUCGUGGUGUAGCGGUGAAAUGCUUAGAUAUCACGAAGAACCCCGAUUGCGAAGGCAGCUUACUAAGC